GAUGAACGCCGACAGAGUGCUUAACACAUGCAAGUCAGCUUGAACUUCGGUUUGGGUGGCGGACGGGUGAGUAACGCGUAAAGAACUUGCCUCACAGAUAGGGACAACAUUUGGAAACGAAUGCUAAUACCUGAUAUUAUGAUUAUAUGGCAUCGUAUAAUUAUGAAAGCUAUAUGCGCUGUGAGAGAGCUUUGCGUCCCAUUAGCUAGUUGGAGAGGUAACGGCUCACCAAGGCGAUGAUGGGUAGCCGGCCUGAGAGGGUGAUCGGCCACAAGGGGACUGAGACACGGCCCUUACUCCUACGGGAGGCAGCAGUGGGGAAUAUUGGACAAUGGACCAAGAGUCUGAUCCAGCAAUUCUGUGUGCACGAUGAAGUUUUUCGGAAUGUAAAGUGCUUUCAGUUGGGAAGAAAAAAAUGACGGUACCAACAGAAGAAGUGACGGCUAAAUACGUGCCAGCAGCCGCCGUAAUAC
rnacentral:rRNA from 1 species